CUACGGGCUGCUGCAGUGAGGAAUAUUGGUCAAUGGGCGCAAGCCUGAACCAGCCAUCCCGCGUGAAGGAAGAAUGCGCUAUGCGUUGUAAACUUCUUUUCCGGAGGAAUAAAAUCCUGUACGUGUAUGGGACUGAAGGUACUCCGGGAAUAAGCAUCGGCUAACUCCGUGCCAGCAGCCGCGGUAAUACGGAGGAUGCGAGCGUUAUCCGGAUUUAUUGGGUUUAAAGGGUGCGUAGGCGGAUUAAUAAGUCAGCGGUGAAAACCUUCAGCUUAACUGGAGACUUGCCAUUGAUACUGUUAGUCUUGAGUAUGGUUAAGGUAGGCGGAAUGUGUAAUGUAGCGGUGAAAUGCUUAGAUAUUACACAGAACACCAAUUGCGAAGGCAGCUUACUGAGCCAUAACUGACGCUGAUGCACGAAAGCGUGGGGAGCGAACAGGAUUAGAUACCCGAGUAGUC
rnacentral:rRNA from 1 species